ensembl:lncRNA LINC01234 long intergenic non-protein coding RNA 1234
GGGCACAUGACCAAGUUGGUCCAAUCGGAGCCAACCCAGGGACAUUUUCCUGGAGCGGCUGGGAAAGAGGAGUCUCUCGAAAUUCAGCAACUGCUAACAGCGAGGAGGGGUUUUGAAAGGUAAAGGCCAUUAGCUUGGAGGCAGAAGACAGACCUCCCUGACUGCUGAAUUCCUGCCGGCCUGAAAUUGGAGCAUUCCAAGCUCCUCAGAUGAGUCAUAAGCCACCAAGAUUGUGAGCCUCUGGGUCUAAAGUCCACCAGGUCAGGGAGCAGGCCUGUCUCGUCUUCUAGUCUUCUACUGUAUCUCAAUACAAUGCCUGGGACAGGAGAAACACCCAAUACGUAUGGGCAGAAUAAAUAAAUGACACAGUUCUGGGGUGGCAGCAGAUCAAUUUCCUGGUCUGUGUCUCUUCAAUGGACAAGUCGAUACAUCUCUGCUGCUCCACGUGUAGUCCAUGGACCAGGCCCCUUCUCAUCACCUGGGAGCUCAUGAGCAACGCAGCAUCUCAGUAUCCCACCCCAGACAUCUGCAUGGACUGAAUCCAGUUCACCACUUGCUUGAGGGUAAUUGCACAUAAGUCUCCAAGUCUCAGUUUCCUCAGCUGAAAAAUAAAAGGUAAUAAAGCCC